GCUGCCCUCUGGCGGCGUGCUUAACACAUGCAAGUCGAACGAUGAAGCCCAGCUUGCUGGGUGGAUUAGUGGCGAACGGGUGAGUAACACGUGAGUAACCUGCCCUUAACUCUGGGAUAAGCCUGGGAAACUGGGUCUAAUACCGGAUAGGAGCGCCUACCGCAUGGUGGGUGUUGGAAAGAUUUAUCGGUUUUGGAUGGACUCGCGGCCUAUCAGCUUGUUGGUGAGGUAAUGGCUCACCAAGGCGACGACGGGUAGCCGGCCUGAGAGGGUGACCGGCCACACUGGGACUGAGACACGGCCCAGACUCCUACGGGAGGCAGCAGUGAGGAAUAUUGCACAAUGGGCGGAAGCCUGAUGCAGCGACGCCGCGUGAGGGAUGACGGCCUUCGGGUUGUAAACCUCUUUCAGUAGGGAAGAAGCGAAAGUGACGGUACCUGCAGAAGAAGCACCGGCUAACUACGUG
rnacentral:rRNA from 1 species